GGUCUUGCUGGGAAUAAACUGGCUUGAAACUAGUUUUGGGGUGUUCGAUUCACUUAAAGACUU
rnacentral:tRNA from 1 species